AGUAUAGAUGAAUGGACGAUAAGUAAAAGCAACCGACAUGUAGAGAGUACGAUAUUGAUAUAUAGAAGAAUAGAGGAAAGUGAAACGAUCUCAUUGACUACCAGCUCGAAGAACCCAUCUGUCACUAUUGCGUCGGGAACCUGGGUGCGCAACAAGUCAACCGGACCUACAAAGAUCCACCGGGUCAGUAACCAACCCACCAAUCCAAAAUACACGAUUCACGAACCCCACACAAAUCCCCGAAAUCGAUUUUCCAAAAUCGAUCACCGUAACUCGCCGAAAGUCCUGAAAAUCACACGGGGACUCCGUCGG
rnacentral:lncRNA from 1 species